AUCGGCCAUACUUUGUUCACAAUAACAAUAUUAACAAUUCAAGCUCAAGUUUGGAUCGACUCAAAGUGUUAGUGAGGAACAAAACUAACACUACAAACACACAAUACAAGUAAAAUACUCCUAGACCUAGACUCAAGAACAAAUCUCGGCCAAGAACACAAUUUCGGCCAAGAUUACAACAAUGGACAGAUUGCAAUUUUUUUGAAAUUUUCAGCUUUUCAAUAAUUUUUUUUUAUUUUCUAACAAGCAAUCCCAAG
rnacentral:lncRNA from 1 species